rnacentral:rRNA from 1 species
AUGGCAGAGACGGCAGCGGCAGCAGAGUCGGAUAGCGGGAGCGAGGUGGGCCCAACCGGGGACUCGGCGGAGUUCGCUUCGCCGGUGAAGGCGAGGAAGAGGGCGCCGGAGUCGGAGGCCGGCACCUCGGCGACGACGGCGUCCGAGUCCUCGGAGACGAGGGUCGACGAUGGCAACAUCCAGGAGGCCGAGUCCUCGCUCCGUGAGGGCCUCUCCCUCAACUACGAGCUGAUGGUGACACAGAACAAAACGGUGGGGACAAAGUUGAUAAUAGCGACAAUGCAAAGAAGGAAGGGGAAGGAAUCGGGGAAAGCUUGUGAAGAGAAGGCCCCUGAGAACACUGAUGCCAAGGAAGAGAACUCAGAUGAUGCUGAGGAGUUGAAAGUGUCAGAUGCACAAGGGAGCGGGCUGCUCUCGGUGCUCGACCGGACGCUCACCGACAAGGAGUACCGUUGCGUGUGCGCCCAGGUGCAGCGCAAGGGCAUGGAGGCGGAGGGGUACGCCGUCGAGGGGAUCUCGGUGGGCGGGCACAAGACCUGCAUCAUAGUGCCGUCCCUCAACGUCGCAUUCGACAUCGGCUGUGGCCCACUCUUCGCCGUGCGCCAUGACCACCUCUUCAUCACGCACGCCCACCUCGACCACAUCGUUCAUGCAAUUCAGGAGCAAUGCUGGUGCUAA